rnacentral:lncRNA from 1 species
GUGGUGUCCGUUGUUGCGACUUGUCGGAGAGUGGCGGGGCCACAUGGAGUUUGUUAUAGAGAGUGGAGUGGUGUCCGUUGUCGUAACUUGUCGGGAAGUUCGGGUUGGACGGCUGAAGCUCGGUUGGGACGUCUGGUGGAGUAGAAUAGCUCUCUGUCUCUGUAAUUUGAGAGAAGCUCAAAUGUUUUUGAGAUUGCUGACGGGCUGUUGUUGGGUGCUUUAGGCAUUGAUACCAU